UACGAAGGGGGCUAGCGUUGUUCGGAAUCACUGGGCGUAAAGCGCACGCAGGCGGAUCGUUAAGUCAGGGGUGAAAUGCCGAGGCUCAACCUCGGAACUGCCUUUGAUACUGGCGAUCUUAGAGUCCGGGAGAGGUGAGUGGAACUCCGAGUGUAGAGGUGAAAUUCGUAGAUAUUAGGAAGAACACCGGUGGCGAAGGCGGCCCACUGGUCCGGUACUGACGCUGAGGUGCGAAAGCGUGGGGAGCAAACAGG
rnacentral:rRNA from 1 species